UACGGGGGGGGUAAGCGUUGUUCGGAAUUACUGGGCGUAAAGGGCUCGUAGGCGGCCAACUAAGUCAUACGUGAAAUCCCUCAGCUUAACUGGGGAACUGCGUGUGAUACUGGAUGGCUUGGAUUUGGGAGAGGGAUGCGGAAUUCCAGGUGUAGCGGUGAAAUGCGUAGAUAUCUGGAGGAACACCGGUGGCGAAGGCGGCAUCCUGGACCAUUACUGACACUGAACCGCGAAAGCUAGGGGAGCAAACGGG
rnacentral:rRNA from 1 species